rnacentral:rRNA from 1 species
UACGGAGGAUCCGAGCGUUAUCCGGAUUUAUUGGGUUUAAAGGGUGCGUAGGUGGAUUGGUAAGUCAGUGGUGAAAGUUUGCAGCUUAACUGUAAAAUUGCCGUUGAAACUGCCGGUCUUGAGUGCAAAUGAGGUAGGCGGAAUGCGUCGUGUAGCGGUGAAAUGCUUAGAUAUGACGCAGAACUCCGAUUGCGAAGGCAGCUUACUGGGAUGCAACUGACGCUGAGGCACGAAAGCGUGGGUAUCAAACAGGAUUAGA